UACGUAGGGGGCAAGCGUUGUCCGGAAUUAUUGGGCGUAAAGGGCGCGUAGGCGGCGUGGUAAGUCACUUGUGAAAUCUCCGAGCUUAACUCGGAACUGCCAAGUGAUACUGCUGUGCUAGAGUGCAGAAGGGGCAACCGGAAUUCUUGGUGUAGCGGUGAAAUGCGUAGAUAUCAAGAGGAACACCUGAGGUGAAGACGGGUUGCUGGGCUGACACUGACGCUGAGGCGCGAAAGCUAGGGUAGCAAACGGG
rnacentral:rRNA from 1 species